rnacentral:rRNA from 1 species
UGAGCUAGCGGCGGACGGGUGAGUAAUGCUUAGGAAUCUGCCUAUUAGUGGGGGACAACAUUCCGAAAGGAAUGCUAAUACCGCAUACGCCCUACGGGGGAAAGCAGGGGAUCUUCGGACCUUGCGCUAAUAGAUGAGCCUAAGUCAGAUUAGCUAGUUGGUGGGGUAAAGGCCUACCAAGGCGACGAUCUGUAGCGGGUCUGAGAGGAUGAUCCGCCACACUGGGACUGAGACACGGCCCAGACUCCUACGGGGGGCAGCAGUGGGGAAUAUUGGACAAUGGGCGCAAGCCUGAUCCAGCCAUGCCGCGUGUGUGAAGAAGGCCUUUUGGUUGUAAAGCACUUUAAGCGAGGAGGAGGCUACUUGGAUUAAUACUCUAGGAUAGUGGACGUUACUCGCAGAAUAAGCACCGGCUAACUCUGUGCCAGCAGCCGCGGUAAUACAGAGGGUGCGAGCGUUAAUCGGAUUUACUGGGCGUAAAGCGUGCGUAGGCGGCUUCUUAAGUCGGAUGUGAAAUCCCUGAGCUUAACUUAGGAAUUGCAUUCGAUACUGGGAAGCUAGGGUAUGGGAGAGGAUGGUAGAAUUCCAGGUGUAGCGGUGAAAUGCGUAGAGAUCUGGAGGAAUACCGAUGGCGAAGGCAGCCAUCUGGCCUAAUACUGACGCUGAGGUACGAAAGCAUGGGGAGCAAACAGGAUUAGAUACCCUGGUAGUCCAUGCCGUAACGAUGUCUACUAGCCGUUGGGGCCUUUGAGGCUUUAGUGGCGCAGCUAACGCGAUAAGUAGACCGCCU